UUAACCCAUAUAACAAAUCAAUACAUCAAAUUAAAUGAGUUAUAGGUAAACCCAACCUAUUUAACAAAAUGAGUUGGGUCAACCCAUAACUCAUUUAACCUUAAACUCAUUUGAUUAUGAGU